rnacentral:rRNA from 1 species
UUAGUUUGAUCCUGGCUCAGGACGAACGCGGGCGGCGUGCCUAACACAUGCAAGUCGAGCGGGGCUGACAGCAGUUAGCUUGCUAACAGCAGUCAACCCAGCGGCGGACGGGUGAGUAACGCGUGAGCAACCAACUUUGUACAGGGGGAUAACAGGUGGAAACACCUGCUAAUACCGCAUAAGACCCCCGGCACUGCAUGGUGCUGAGGUAAAAGGAGGAAACUCCGGUACGAGACGGGCUCGCGUCCCAUUAGCCGGUUGGUGGGGUGACGGCCUACCAAGGCGACGAUGGGUAGCCGGCCUGAGAGGGUGUACGGCCACACUGGGACUGAGACACGGCCCAGACUCCUACGGGAGGCAGCAGUGGGGGAUAUUGCGCAAUGGGGGGAACCCUGACGCAGCGACGCCGCGUGAGCGAAGAAGGCCUUCGGGUCGUAAAGCUCUGUCUUUGGGGAAGAAUAAGAUGACGGUACCCAAGGAGGAAGCCCCGGCUAACUACGUGCCAGCAGCCGCGGUAACACGUAGGGGGCGAGCGUUGUCCGGAAUUACUGGGCAUAAAGGGUGCGUAGGCGGCCUUAUAAGUCAUGUGUGAAAAACCCGGGCUCAACCCGGGUAUUGCAAGUGAAACUAUAGGGCUUGAGUGCAGGAGAGGGAAGUGGAAUUCCUAGUGUAGCGGUGAAAUGCGUAGAGAUUAGGAGGAACACCAGUGGCGAAGGCGGCUUCCUGGACUGCAACUGACGCUGAGGCACGAAAGCGUGGGGAGCAAACAGGAUUAGAUACCCUGGUAGUCCACGCCGUAAACGCUGGAUACUAGGUGUAGGUACCGAUGAGGUAUCUGUGCCGUAGUUAACGCAAUAAGUAUCCCGCCUGGGGAGUACGGCCGCAAGGCUGAAACUCAAAGGAAUUGACGG